CCCCAAAAGUUUCUUCAGGUGAAACAAACAAACAAACAAAAGCUCCUCAGCAUAGCUGCAAGAUCCAAUGACAAGAUACAAAAGUCACUAGCAGUCUGACACAGUUUGGCUGUGUCCCCACUCAGAUCUCAUCUUGAAUUGUAGCUCCCAUAAUUCCCACGUCAUGGGAGAGACCCAGUGGAAAGUAAUUAAAUCACAGGGGUGGGUCUUUCUUGUGCUGUUCUUGUGUUAGUGAAGAAGCCUCACAAGAUCUGAUGGUUUUACAAAGCAGUGUUUCCCUAUGCAAGCUCUCU
rnacentral:lncRNA from 1 species